UACGAAGGGGGGCUAGCGUUGUUCGGAUUUACUGGGCGUAAAGCGCACGUAGGCGGUUUGUUAAGUCCGUUGUGAAAGCCCCGAGCUCAACUUGGGAAUUGCAGUGGAUACUGGCGAGCUGGAGUGCGGUAGAGGAAGGUGGAAUUCCCGGUGUAGCGGUGAAAUGCGUAGAGAUCGGGAGGAACACCAGUGGCGAAGGCGGCCCUCUGGACCAGCACUGACACUCAAGCACGAAAGCGUGGGGAGCAAACAGG
rnacentral:rRNA from 1 species